CAGCAGCCACGGUAAUACGUAGGGUGCAAGCGUUAAUCGGAAUUAUUGGGCGUAAAGCGAGUGCAGACGAUUACUUAAGCCAGAUGUGAAAUCCCCAAGCUUAACUUGGGACGCGCAUUUGAAACUGGGUGACUAGAGUGUGUCAGAGGGAGGUAGAAUUCCACAUGUAGCGGUGAAAUGCGUAGAGAUGUGGAGGAACACCAGUGGCGAAGGCGACUCUCUGGUCUGUAACUGACGCUGAGGAGCGAAAGCGUGGGGAGCGAACAGGAUUAGAGACCCCUGUAGUCCCUGUCUCUUAUAC
rnacentral:rRNA from 1 species